rnacentral:misc_RNA from 1 species
GAUGAAGAACGUAGCGAAAUGCGAUACUUGGUGUGAAUUGCAGAAUCCCGUGAACCAUCGAGUCUUUGAACGCAAGUUGCGCCCGAAGCCACUAGGCCGAGGGCACGCCUGCCUGGGCGUCACACGCCGUUGCCCCCCCAUCUACUCCUUCGGGAUUGCGGGGGGGCGGAUGAUGGCCUCCCGUGCGCCUAGCCGCGCGGUUGGCAUAAAUACCAAGUCCUCGGCGACGCACGCCACGACAAUCGGUGGUUGCGAAACCUCGGUUGCCCGUCGUGAGCGUUCGUCGCGCAUCGAGGGCUCGAAAAAAUGCUCGGCUCCGGCUGGGCUUUCAACGCGACCCCAGGUCAGGCGGGGUUACCCGCUGAAUUUAAGCAUAUCAAUAAGCGGAGGA